rnacentral:tRNA from 2 species
GGGAGCGGAUGUGCUCCGGUGGGUUCCACGGACUUCAAAUCCGAUGGUCCCGGCCCUUCGGUCGGGACGGUGGGUUCGACUCCCUCUCGCUCCCGCCA